rnacentral:rRNA from 1 species
AUUGAACGCUGGCGGCAGGCUUAACACAUGCAAGUCGAACGAGUGGCGGACGGGUGAGUACUGUAUGGGGAUCUGCCCGAUAGAGGGGGAUAACUACUGGAAACGGUGGCUAAUACCGCAUACUAUCGGAUGAACCCAUCUGGGAUUAGCUAGUAGGUGGGGUAAAGGCUCACCUAGGCGACGAUCUCUAGCUGGUCUGAGAGGAUGAUCAGCAACACUGGGACUGCGACACGGCCCAGACUCCGACGGGAGGCAGCAGUGGGGAUUAUUGCACAAUGGGCGCAAGCCUGAGGCAGCCAUGCCGCGUGUAUGAAGAAGGCCUUAGGGUUGUAAAGUCCUUUCAGCGGGGAGUCGUUACCCGCAGAAGAAGCACCGGCUAACUCCGUGCCAGCAGCCGCGGUAAUUC